GUCGACGGGUUUUGAAACCUGGGAUGCGCAAGGAAGCUGACGAGCGGGAGGCCCUCACGGGCCGCACCGCUGGCCGACCCUGAUCUUCUGUGAAGGGUUCGAGUUGGAGCACGCCUGUCGGGACCCGAAAGAUGGUGAACGCUGCCUGAGCGGGGCGAAGCCAGAGGAAACUCUGGUGGAGGCUCGAAGCGAUACUGACGUGCAAAUCG
rnacentral:ncRNA from 1 species